UAGUUUCACAGGAUUGUCUUCAGGAUGUACAAAAACCGUGAGCAGUGGUUAAACAAUCGUGCGAUCUGCAGUCGCUGUUAAGUGUAUUUAGAACUUUUGAUCGCUUAAGUGACUGUGAUGUUAUUUGUCCCAUUCUUUCGCGUUUCUUUCUGUUAAAUUAUGUGAAAUAAUUUGAUUGUGACAGACUUGUACAACAGAGUUUUCCCUUGACGAACUUUAAAUAUACCUCGAACAAAUUGUUAUAGAUAAAAUUUUGGAAGAAUGUUGUUGAAGUAUUUCUGCAGUCUUCGUGUCUAAAGGGUAAAGAAUCCGGUAUUCGCAAGACAUAAAGGGUUAAUAAUUCAGAGAUAA
rnacentral:misc_RNA from 1 species